UGGGGAUUUUUCCGCAAUGGGCGCAAGCCUGAUGGAGCGACGCCGCGUGAGCGAAGAAGCCCUUCGGGGUGUAAAGCUCUUUUCAGUGGGAUGACAAUGACAGUACCACUGGAAUAAGCCUCGGCUAACUACGUGCCAGCAGCCGCGGUAAUACGUAGGAGGCAAGCGUUGUCCGGAUUUACUGGGCGUAAAGAGCGUGUAGGCGGCAUGGUAAGUCUGCUGUGAAAGCUCUCGGCUUAACCGGGAGAGGUCGGUGGAAACUGCCAAGCUUGAGGACGGUAGAGGGGGGUGGAAUUCCCGGUGUGGUGGUGAAAUGCGUAGAUAUCGGGAGGAACACCAGUGGCGAAGGCGGCCCCCUGGGCCGCUCCUGACGCUGAGACGCGAAGGCUAGGGUAGCGAAAGGGAUUAGAUACCCCUGUAGUC
rnacentral:rRNA from 1 species